UACGAAGGGGGCUAGCGUUGCUCGGAAUCACUGGGCGUAAAGGGUGCGUAGGCGGGUCUUUAAGUCAGGUGUGAAAUCCUGGAGCUCAACUCCAGAACUGCCCUUGAUACUGAGGAUCUUGAGUUCGGGAGAGGUGAGUGGAACUGCGAGUGUAGAGGUGAAAUUCGUAGAUAUUCGCAAGAACACCAGUGGCGAAGGCGGCUCACUGGCCCGAUACUGACGCUGAGGCACGAAAGCGUGGGGAGCAAACAGG
rnacentral:rRNA from 1 species